rnacentral:misc_RNA from 1 species
GAAGCUUUUUAUUUUAGAGAGAGAUGGCAUUGCUCCUCAUAGCCAUCUUCUCUUUCACGUUGGAGGAUUGAAGUAGAAUAUAUUAACAAAUUUCAUUUGAAGGUUGUAGAUAUGCAACCUUCUUUGCACACAAAUAAUUGGUGUCGUUAGAAGUGGAUACACCGAGGGAGGAAGAGGAAAUGGCAUCGGAAGGCAAAGAGGCUUUGGCAGGAGUACUUGCGAGAGUGGGGGCUUGUCUAAUCCCUCCUCGACAACAUCGUUUCGAAUGAUCGCAUCUCUGAUCCCUAUUUCGUCCUCUAAAUGUGAUAUACUGUAAUUAACUUAUGCUUUCUACGUUAUCAAUCUUGCAAUUGCAUUAUUACAAUGUGAAAUCACUCAUUUGUAGGAUCGAUUGAUUCUCCUAUUAUGAUGUUUCAGAUGGACAAGUAUAAUGAGGAGGGUUAACUACUUGAACCUUGGAGAGCAUAGUUUAUACAUAAUCUGUAUUAAAACAAUUGAAUUAGGGUUUUGUUCUGAUGGGAUUCUUCAAGUGCUUGAACCCAUAUGCAUCGUUAUUUAUAUGAUGGUUAGGGUUUUGGUUAUAAAGCCCUUAUCAAGUUCCUUCCACAUCAAGUUUUUUAUUUGGAACUCGCAGUCCCUUUCUUGGGAAAAUGCCAUGAUACGGAUUUGGACGCUGAAAAGUACAGAGGAGAUAGAAGCAAAAUGCGAUACACUUUUGCGGCUUUCUGUUCUCUUAUUAGUUCCAUUUGAUGUCUCCUUUGUUGAUUCUAGUGUUGCACAUAGUACUGAUCUUGGUGAACUUGAGUCCGCCUGUUUUCAAUCAAGAUAUUGAAGUUCUCUUAGGAUUACGUUUCCAAUGCAGGUCCCAUGAGCACCAUGAAUGGUUUCCUGCUCUCUAGGCUUCUGACACCUUCCGAUAUGCUGAAGGCCAUUAUAAAGUAUUUCCCAUCAUUCAUAUCACUACAAACGUUUGAAAUUAUUGUUUUUGCUUCUAAUCAAACACUAUAUAUUUUCAUAUAUUUAAUACUGGUUGUAUAGCU